GUCAUCCUGACGGAUGCAUGAGGACCCCCCUCCUUACAGUGACUGUAUGGAGGGGGGUCCGGGUCACAGAUCAGCUGCACACUAGCACAGAGACCCGAUGGGUGCGUUGCAGAGACUCUGCAGAGUCUCUGACAGUUCUGUGCCUGGCCUGUGCUUUUGGACAGUGGACCUGUGACCGCAUCCUGCACCAGGAGACCCCACAGGCAGGGACGCUCUCAAGGAGCCUUAGAGUGUCUUUGUUUGUGUAGCCAUCGUGCUAUAUGAGGGGUAACAGGUUCAUCAUCUCAUUCACUGGGUAUGAGUGUGAUGGUGUUGAGCAGAGCAACACUGUAUCAGUCACUAUGGUCAGGAGAAGCGAAUUGCAUUGACCAUCUUGUGACAAGGCAAAGUUCUGCUGCGAAACUUUGUAAACUUUGUCACAGAGGUCAAGUGUCUGUGGUAUAAUUAACAUUUGUGUUUUUUCCCUAUUCUCUUUUAGGUUGGGCCAGGUCUGACAGCAUAUCCUGAUUUCUCCGACAAAGUGACAUCUGAAUGGUGGUACAACGACUUGCAGAAGUUCCAUGUGCCAUUCGAUGGGUUAUGGAUUGACAUGAAUGAGCUAUCAAACUUCUUAGAUGGAUUGACCAAUGGCUGUCCAUCAAGCCCUCUUGAAAAUCCUCCUUACACCCCAGUGCACUUAAGGGUUUGCUGAGAUCUAAAACUCUGUUUGACACGGCUCAACAGAAGCAGUGCAUACAUUACAACAUGCACAGUCUCUAUGGACUCAUGGAAGCAAACGCC